rnacentral:rRNA from 1 species
UUCAGGAUGAACGCUAGCUACAGGCUUAACACAUGCAAGUCGAGGGGCAGCAGGGCGAUAGCUUGCUAUUGCCGCUGGCGACCGGCGCACGGGUGAGUAACGCGUAUCCAACCUUCCCCUUAGUAGAGGAUAGCCCGGCGAAAGUCGGAUUAAUACUCUAUGUUGUAUUUUGAGGACAUCUGACGAAUACCAAAGAUUUAUCGCUAAGGGAUGGGGAUGCGUCUGAUUAGCUUGUCGGCGGGGUAACGGCCCACCGAGGCGACGAUCAGUAGGGGUUCUGAGAGGAAGGUCCCCCACAUUGGUACUGAGACACGGACCAAACUCCUACGGGAGGCAGCAGUGAGGAAUAUUGGUCAAUGGGCGUAGGCCUGAACCAGCCAAGUAGCGUGCAGGAUGACUGCCCUAUGGGUUGUAAACUGCUUUUAUGCGGGAAUAAAGUCAGGUACGUGUACCUGUUUGCAUGUACCGCAUGAAUAAGGACCGGCUAAUUCCGUGCCAGCAGCUGC